rnacentral:tRNA from 1 species
UGUUCUGUGACUUAGUUGGUUAAAGCGCCGGUCUAUCGAAUACGGAGUCGUAGGAUCGAAUCCCAUCAGAACAC